rnacentral:rRNA from 1 species
AAUCAACGCUGGCGGCGUGCCUAACACAUGCAAGUCGAGCGCGAAAGUGGACUUCGGUCCACGAGUAGAGCGGCGAACGGGUGAGUAACGCGUGGGUGAUCUGCCUUCGAGUGGGGAAUAACACCGGGAAACUGGUGCUAAUACCGCAUGACAUCCUUGGUUCGUUCCAGGGAUCAAAGCCGGGGACCGUAAGGCCUGGCGCUUGAAGAGGAGCCCGCGUCCGAUUAGCUAGUUGGCGGGGUAAUGGCCCACCAAGGCUUCUAUCGGUAGCCGGCCUGAGAGGGCGGACGGCCACACUGGGACUGAGACACGGCCCAGACUCCUACGGGAGGCAGCAGUGGGGAAUUUUCCGCAAUGGGCGAAGGCCUGACGGAGCAACGCCGCGUGGAGGAUGAAGGCCCUCGGGUCGUAAACUCCUGUCGAUCGGGAAGAAUGCGUCCGGCCUAAUACGUCGGCACGUUGACUGUACCGGUGGAGGAAGCCACGGCUAACUCUGUGCCAGCAGCCGCGGUAAGACAGGGGUGGCAAGCGUUGUUCGGAAUUACUGGGCGUAAAGGGCGCGCAGGCGGUUUGCCAAGUCCCGUGUGAAAUCCCCCGGCUCAACUGGGGAACUGCGCGGGAUACUAGUGGACUUGAGUUCGGGAGA